rnacentral:rRNA from 1 species
GAUGAACGCUGGCGGCAUGUUUAACACAUGCAAGUCGGACGGGAAGUGGUGUUUCCAGUGGCGGCCGGGUGAGUAACGCGUAAGAACCUGCCCUUGGGAGGGGAACAACAGCUGGAAACGGCUGCUAAUACCCCAUAGGCUGAGGAGCAAAAGGAGGAAUCCGCCCAAGGAGGGGCUCGCGUCUGAUUAGUUAGUUGGUGAGGCAAUGGCUUACCAAGGCGACGAUCAGUAGCUGGUCCGAGAGGAUGAUCAGCCACACUGGGACUGAGACACGGCCCAGACUCCUACGGGAGGCAGCAGUGGGGAAUUUUCCGCAAUGGGCGAAAGCCUGACGGAGCAAUGCCGCGUGAAGGCAGAAGGCCCACGGGUCAUGAACUUCUUUUCUCGGAGAAGAAAAAAUGACGGUAUCUGAGGAAUAAGCAUCGGCUAACUCUGUG